rnacentral:rRNA from 1 species
AGUAGGGCGGGACACGUGGUAUCCUGUCUGAAUAUGGGGGGACCAUCCUCCAAGGCUAAAUACUCCUGACUGACCGAUAGUGAACCAGUACCGUGAGGGAAAGGCGAAAAGAACCCCGGCGAGGGGAGUGAAAAAGAACCUGAAACCGUGUACGUACAAGCAGUGGGAGCCUCUUUAUGGGGUGACUGCGUACCUUUUGUAUAAUGGGUCAGCGACUUAUAUUCUGUAGCAAGGUUAACCGAAUAGGGGAGCCGAAGGGAAACCGAGUCUUAACUGGGCGUUAAGUUGCAGGGUAUAGACCCGAAACCCGGUGAUCUAGCCAUGGGCAGGUUGAAGGUUGGGUAACACUAACUGGAGGACCGAACCGACUAAUGUUGAAAAAUUAGCGGAUGACUUGUGGCUGGGGGUGAAAGGCCAAUCAAACCGGGAGAUAGCUGGUUCUCCCCGAAAGCUAUUUAGGUAGCGCCUCGUGAAUUCAUCUCCGGGGGUAGAGCACUGUUUCGGCAAGGGGGUCAUCCCGACUUACCAACCCGAUGCAAACUGCGAAUACCGGAGAAUGUUAUCACGGGAGACACACGGCG